rnacentral:rRNA from 1 species
AGACCGCAAGGUUUAGCCAAUCCCAUAAAUCUGUUCUCAGUUCGGAUCGCAGUCUGCAACUCGACUGCGUGAAGCUGGAAUCGCUAGUAAUCGCGGAUCAGCAUGCCGCGGUGAAUACGUUCCCGGGCCUUGUACACACCGCCCGUCACACCACGAGAGUUUGCAACACCCGAAGUCGGUGAGGUAACCUUUAUGGAGCCAGCCGCCGAAGGUGGGGCAGAUGAUUGGGGUGAAGUCGUAACAAGGUAGCCGUAUCGGAAGGUGCGGCUGGAUCACCUCCUUUCUAAGGA